GACGAACGCUGGCGGCGUGCCUAACACAUGCAAGUCGAGCGGAAAGACCAGGCGCUUGCUCCGUUCACGUUUGCGGCGGAGGGGUGUGUCACACGUGGAUCAUCUACUUAACAGACUGGGAUCACUUGGGAAAACCGGCGAUUAUCGCGGAUAAUAUCUUGCACCGCAUGGUUCGAUGGUAAAUGUCGGCUUUUGUGUAUCUACUCGCUGGUUCUGGGCCGCUUUAGCUAGUUGGUAAGGUAAAAGCUUACCAAGGCAACGAUGCGUAGCCGACGUGAGUGGGGGGUCGGCCACACGGGAACUGGGACACGGUCCAUACUCCUACGGGAGGGAGCAGUAGGGAAGCUUCCGCAAUGGGCGGAAGCCUGACGGAACGACGCCGCGUGAGAGAUGAAGGUCUUCGGAUCGUAAAACUCUGUUAUUAGGUAAGAACAAAUUUGGAAGGAACUAUGCACGGCGUGACGGUACCGAAUCAGAAAGCCACGGCUAACUACGUG
rnacentral:rRNA from 1 species